rnacentral:rRNA from 1 species
GUUGGGUAGGGGAGCGUUCUGUAAGCCUGUGAAGGUGGCCUGUGAGGGUUGCUGGAGGUAUCAGAAGUGCGAAUGCUGACAUAAGUAACGAUAAAGCGGGUGAAAAGCCCGCUCGCCGGAAGACCAAGGGUUCCUGUCCAACGUUAAUCGGGGCAGGGUGAGUCGACCCCUAAGGCGAGGCCGAAAGGCGUAGUCGAUGGGAAACGGGUUAAUAUUCCCGUACUUGGUGUUACUGCGAAGGGGGGACGGAGAAGGCUAUGUUGGCCGGGCGACGGUUGUCCCGGUUUAAGCGUGUAGGCUGGUUUUCCAGGCAAAUCCGGUUCACUUUAAAACUGAGGCGUGACGACGAGGCACUACGGUGCUGAAGCAACAAAUGCCCUGCUUCCAGGAAAAGCCUCUAAGCAUCAGGUAACACGAAAUCGUACCCCAAACCGACACAGGUGGUCAGGUAGAGAAUACCAAGGCGCUUGAGAGAACUCGGGUGAAGGAACUAGGCAAAAUGGUGCCGUAACUUCGGGAGAAGGCACGCUGACACGUAGGUGAAGUGAUUUACUCAUGGAGCUGAAGUCAGUCGAAGAUACCAGCUGGCUGCAACUGUUUAUUAAAAACACAGCACUGUGCAAACACGAAAGUGGACGUAUACGGUGUGACGCCUGCCCGGUGCCGGAAGGUUAAUUGAUGGGGUCAGCGCAAGCGAAGCUCCUGAUCGAAGCCCCGGUAAACGGCGGCCGUAACUAUAACGGUCCUAAGGUAGCGAAAUUCCUUGUCGGGUAAGUUCCGACCUGCACGAAUGGCGUAAUGAUGGCCAGGCUGUCUCCACCCGAGACUCAGUGAAAUUGAACUCGCUGUGAAGAUGCAGUGUACCCGCGGCAAGACGGAAAGACCCCGUGAACCUUUACUAUAGCUUGACACUGAACAUUGAGCCUUGAUGUGUAGGAUAGGUGGGAGGCUUUGAAGUGUGGACGCCAGUCUGCAUGGAGCCGACCUUGAAAUACCACCCUUUAAUGUUUGAUGUUCUAACGUGGACCCGUGAUCCGGGUUGCGGACAGUGUCUGGUGGGUAGUUUGACUGGGGCGGUCUCCUCCUAAAGAGUAACGGAGGAGCACGAAGGUUGGCUAAUCCUGGUCGGACAUCAGGAGGUUAGUGCAAUGGCAUAAGCCAGCUUGACUGCGAGCGUGACGGCGCGAGCAGGUGCGAAAGCAGGUCAUAGUGAUCCGGUGGUUCUGAAUGGAAGGGCCAUCGCUCAACGGAUAAAAGGUACUCCGGGGAUAACAGGCUGAUACCGCCCAAGAGUUCAUAUCGACGGCGGUGUUUGGCACCUCGAUGUCGGCUCAUCACAUCCUGGGGCUGAAGUAGGUCCCAAGGGUAUGGCUGUUCGCCAUUUAAAGUGGUACGCGAGCUGGGUUUAGAACGUCGUGAGACAGUUCGGUCCCUAUCUGCCGUGGGCGCUGGAGAACUGAGGGGGGCUGCUCCUAGUACGAGAGGACCGGAGUGGACGCAUCACUGGUGUUCGGGUUGUCAUGCCAAUGGCACUGCCCGGUAGCUAAAUGCGGAAAAGAUAAGUGCUGAAAGCAUCUAAGCACGAAACUUGCCCCGAGAUGAGUUCUCCCUGAGACUUAGAGUCUCCUGAAGGAACGUUGAAGACGACGACGUUGAUAGGCCGGGUGUGUAAGCGCAGCGAUGCGUUGAGCUAACCGGUACUAAUGAACCGUGAGGCUUAACCUUACAACGCCGAAG